CCUACGGGUGGCAGCAGUGAGGAAUAUUGGUCAAUGGCCGAGAGGCUGAACCAGCCAAGUCGCGUGAGGGAAGACGGCCCUACGGGUUGUAAACCUCUUUUGUUGGGGAGCAAAGCGAGUCACGUGUGACUCAUUGAGAGUACCCGAAGAAAAAGCAUCGGCUAACUCCGUGCCAGCAGCCGCGGUAAUACGGAAGGUCCGGGCGUUAUCCGGAUUUAUUGGGUUUAAAGGGAGCGUAGGCCGCAUGUUAAGCGUGCUGUGAAAUGUCCGGGCUCAACCCGGGACUUGCAGUGCGAACUGGCGUGCGUGAGUCCGCGGAAAGGAGGCGGAAUUCGUCGUGUAGCGGUGAAAUGCUUAGAUAUGACGAAGAACCCCGAUUGCGAAGGCAGCUUGCUGCAGCGGAACUGACGCUGAUGCUCGAAAGCGCGGGUAUCGAACAGGAUUAGAUACCCUAGUAGUC
rnacentral:rRNA from 1 species